AUCUCUUUCUGUCGCUCUUUCAGAUUUCAGGAAUGCUAACUAUUUAAUGAAAUGGCUCAACAAGAUAAGAUUUCAUGUCUUUUUUUCUUUUUCUUUUUUUGAAGUGAAAAUGAGAAAUCUAGAUUCGUGAAUCUGGUGUCUCAUUAUCUAAGUGGAGAAGCGCAACAAAUUGAAUGAAGUAAGACCCAGCUACUCGGACAUAUGAAGUCAUCGUUCAUUAUGAUAGCUUGGCACCGACUUGUGAAGAAGUAUUUUUUGAAAUGCUGCGACAGACAAUCAAUGAAAAUUCAGAUCUUUCCCAGACUAAGAAACUUCUUGACAAGCUUCUUGUGCUGAAGCUGAAUGGAGGUUUGGGGGCUACGAUGGGUUGCACUGGUCCUAAGUAAGCUUUCAUCCGAUUUUGAUGAUCAACAUUUUCUUUUAUAGCAAUUUUGGCAAGUUGAUUCUGUUAUAUUGUUAUUCUGUGAGAGAUUGCAAACCUACCUAUAUAUGUAUAUGAGGAACUAUUUUUGUUUGUUUAUAUAUAUAUAUAUAUAUAUUCUUCAUAUGAGGACUUCAUACAAAUUUGCAAUUGGCAGUGGGCCCAAUUUUGGAUGCCAUGGACAGUUGGGUUACUUAAAAGGGAGCUGAAAACUGGAAUAGAAAAGAUGAAAGGAAAUUAAGCUCAACCAAAUGUUGACGAGGAAUUAUAUGGUCCUUGAUUCAAGAAUAUGCAUGAAAAGGAUAUAUGUGACCGACCUCAAUCAGUUAGGAUAUGGCUUAGAUGACUAUGAUUCAAGGAUAUGCAUUGUUCUCAGCCUUGAUCUGUACAGGUGGAAUAGGCAAUGCCCCAAAAGUUUCAUUGCGCAAGAAUCGUACAACCCCUAGACCUGUGAUCAGUCAAAAGAUGGCUGGGAAAAAAAAUAGCUAAAGACAACAUUCAAUAGCAAAAAGGCCAAAGAUUUGGCUAGGAUUUUCCAAUAUGAGAGACUUUCGAGGCAUUCCUAUCCAUGGUGGACCCAUCAGAUCAACCGUAUGUCUAAUGUCUCACUGCAACCCCACCUAUGCAGAGUAGAAUUCAGGGCCCAAGAAUGCUUUAUCAAAUCCUUGGGUCAAGGAUAAUAUAAUUCUGCAGCAUUGAAUAGUAACUAAGUAAUAAAAAAAGACUAAAAACUGAUGCUACCCUAAGAUUGGCAUCACACCAGAAACACCAGAGACUUAGCAGUGGUUUUGUGCACUGUGCAUUAAAUAUAUAACCACCACCGGCCCCAACCACUAGCAGCAGCAAAAAAGAAAAGAACAGGACAGAACAGAACAGA